CAGCUGCUAGGAUGGAAUGGGUGGGGUCUAUCUUUUAUCAUGUGACAGGAAACAAAAAUCAAUUUCCUUGGUCCAUUAUUCCAGUAUAUAAUUCCAUGGACAACAGAACUUCAAAGCACAAGCUAAUGGGGCAUACAAUGAUCUUAGCGUAUAAUAACUUAUAAUUCCUAUAUUUUUACAAUUUUUGAGAGCAUUUUGCCGUUUUUUGUGAUAUUUUUUUU